AGACCCGAAACCCGGUGAUCUAGCCAUGGGCAGGUUGAAGGUUGGGUAACACUAACUGGAGGACCGAACCGACUAAUGUUGAAAAAUUAGCGGAUGACCUGUGGCUGGGGGUGAAAGGCCAAUCAAACCGGGAGAUAGCUGGUUCUCCCCGAAAGCUAUUUAGGUAGCGCCUCGUGAAUUCAUCUCCGGGGGUAGAGCACUGUUUCGGCUAGGGGGCCAUCCCGGCUUACCAACCCGAUGCAAACUGCGAAUACCGGAGAAUGUUAUCACGGGAGACACACGGCGGGUGCUAACGUCCGUCGUGAAGAGGGAAACAACCCAGACCGCCAGCUAAGGUCCCAAAGUCAUGGUUAAGUGGGAAACGAUGUGGGAAGGCCCAGACAGCCAGGAUGUUGGCUUAGAAGCAGCCAUCAUUUAAAGAAAGCGUAAUAGCUCACUGGUCGAGUCGGCCUGCGCGGAAGAUGUAACGGGGCUAAACCAUGCACCGAAGCUGCGGCAGCGAACGUAUCACUUAAAGCGAUUCAGCGGGUUACGAUUGACGGAGCGAAGCGACGUCAAAGCGUAUACAAAGUCGAGUCGGUUUAAGGAUACGUUCGUUGGGUA
rnacentral:rRNA from 3 species